rnacentral:rRNA from 1 species
CGUAGGUGGCAAGCGUUGUCCGGAUUUAUUGGGUUUAAAGGGUGCGUAGGCGGCCCUGUAAGUCAGUGGUGAAAUACUCCAGCUUAACUGGAGGGGUGCCAUUGAUACUGCAGGGCUUGAGUGGAGUCGAAGUAGGCGGAAUUGACGGUGUAGCGGUGAAAUGCUUAGAUAUCGUCAAGAACACCGAUAGUGAAGACAGCUUACUAGGCUUCUACUGACGCUGAGGCACGAAAGUGUGGGGAUCAAACAGGAUUAGAUACCCUGGUAGUCCACACUGUAAACGUUGAUUACUCGCUGUUGGCGAUACACAGCCAGCGGCCCAGCGCAAGCGAUAAGUAAUCCACCUGGGGAGUACGCCGGCAACGGUG